ACGGGAGGCAGCAGUGGGGAAUAUUGGACAAUGGGCGCAAGCCUGAUCCAGCCAUACCGCGCUGUGUGAAGAAGGCCUUCGGGUUGUAAAGCACUUUAAGCAGGGAGAAAAAGUUAUAAGUUAAUACCUUAUAACCGUGAUGUUACCUGCAGAAUAAGCACCGGCUAAUUCCGUGCCAGCAGCCGCGGUAAUACGGAAGGUGCAAGCGUUAAUCGGAAUUACUGGGCGUAAAGCGCGCGUAGGUGGUUUGUUAAGUUGGAUGUGAAAGCCCUGGGCUCAACCUAGGAACUGCAUCCAAAACUAACUCACUAGAGUACGAUAGAGGGAGGUAGAAUUCAUAGUGUAGCGGUGGAAUGCGUAGAUAUUAUGAAGAAUACCAGUGGCGAAGGCAGCCUCUUGGUCCAUUACUGACGCUGAUACACGAAAGCGUGGGUAGCAAACAGGAUUAGAUACCCUGGUAGUCCACGCCGUAAACGAUGAUCACUAGAUGUCGGCUUCACAUUGUGAGGUUGGUGUCGCAGCUAACGCGUUAAGUGAUCCGCCUGGGGACUACGGUCGCAAGAUUAAAACUCAAAGGAAUUGACGG
rnacentral:rRNA from 1 species